AUAUAAAUAAAUUUUUUAUGAUUUAGGAAGUUUAAUUUAAAUUUAUUUUACAUAUAAAUUUUAGUAUGAAUUUUUAAUUAUUUUAAUAAUUUUUAAAAAUUAAAUUAUAGUAAUUAAUAUUAAAAAUUUAAGAAAUUAAGAUUUAGUAAUAUUUAAAAUUAUUAACAAAUUUUGUGCCAGCAGUUGCGGUUAAACAAAAAAUAAUUUAAAUUUUAUUAGUAAAUAAUAAAUAUUAGUAUAAAUGAAAUUAAAUAUUAAUUUAUUAGGUGAAAUUUUAAUUUAAUUAAAAUUUUAUUUUGUAAUAUGAUUUAUUAAAUUUUAUAAAAAACUAGAAUUAGAUACUCUAUUAUUAAAAAUUAAAUAAAUAAUACUAAAAUAGUAUGUAAUUAUUUAUAGAAACUUAAAUAAUUUGGCGGUAUUUUAGUUCAUUUAGAGGAAUCUGUUUAAUAAUUGAUAAUCCACGAAUAAAUUUACUUAAUUUAAAAAUUUUGUAUAUCGUUGUUAAAAAAAUAUUUUUUAAUAAAAAUAAUAUUUAAGAAUUUUUAUAAUAAAUUAAUUCAGAUCAAGAUGCAGAUUAUAAUUAAGAAUAUAAUGGAUUACAAUAAGAAAUGAUUAAAUGAAUAAUAUAUUUUAAUAUAUAUUUGAAGGUGGAUUUAAAUGUAAUUUUAUUUAAUUUAUUAAAAUGAUUAAAAAUUGAAAUAUGUACAUAUUGCCCGUCGCUUUCAUUAAUAAAUUGAAAUAAGUCGUAACAAAGUAGAUGUACUGGAAAGUGUUUCUAGAAAGAU
rnacentral:ncRNA from 1 species